rnacentral:rRNA from 1 species
UAACAAGGAUUCCCCUAGUAACUGCGAGUGAAGCGGGAAGAGCUCAAAUUUAAAAUCUGGCAGUCUUCUAACUGUUCGAGUUGUAAUCUGGAGAAGCGUUUUCUGUGUUAGACCGUGUACAAGUCUCUUGGAACGGAGCGUCAUAGAGGGUGAGAAUCCCGUUCUUGACACGGACUACUAAUACUUUGUGAUACGCUCUCGAAGAGUCGAGUUGUUUGGGAAUGCAGCUCAAAAUGGGUGGUAAAUUCCAUCUAAAGCUAAAUACAGGCGAGAGACCGAUAGCGAACAAGUACCGUGAGGGAAAGAUGAAAAGCACUUUGGAAAGAGAGUUAAACAGUACGUGAAAUUGUUGAAAGGGAAACGCUUGAAGUCAGUCGCGUUGUGCAGAACUCAGCCUUGCUUCGGCUUGGUGUAUUUUCUGCACAACGGGUCAACAUCAAUUUUGGCCCAUGGAGAAAGGUGGGGGGAAUGUAGCGCUGUUUCGGUAGCGUGUUAUAGCCCUCUAUUGUAUACAUGGGCUGGGAUUGAGGAACGCAGCACGCCCUUGUGGCCGGGGGUUCGCCCUACGUUACCGUGCUUAGGAUGUUGGCAGAAUGGCUUUAAGCGACCCGUCUUGAAACACGGACCAAGGAGUCUAACAUGCUUGCAAGUGUUCGGGUGGAAAACCCUUGUGCGUAAUGAAAGUGAAAGUUGGGAACCUCCGCAAGGGGGUGCACCGACGCCCGGCCCUGACGUUCUCUGACGGUGCUGCGGUAGAGCAAGUAUGCUAGGACCCGAAAGAUGGUGAACUAUGCCUGAAUAGGGCGAAGCCAGAGGAAACUCUGGUGGAGGCUCGUAGCGAUUCUGACGUGCAAAUCGAUCGUCAAAUUUGGG